GAGAUAGUGUCAGCUUUUUUUUGUGGGGACAAGUAUUAAAGUGGAUUGGUGAUGGUGGUGAUGCUUGGAAGUGCUAAUGUGAACCUGCCUUCUAAGUCUUUCCCUUAUCCAGUGAGAAAUCAGUGAUUGUAAUCACUGGAUUACCUGCUUGCUCAGAUCAGGGUUGUUGAAUGAGGGGCUAUUUGCAAGGCUAGUUUAAAACAACUCCCAUUCUUGUGUUAAUGCACCUGUUUCUUGUAUUUGUCCUGAUUUAAACUCUUGCAAUGUGGCUACUGACCUGCCUUAGUGUGAGUUUCCCCCAAAGCAGACUAUGCAACAAAGACUUAGGCACAAAGAAUUCAUUAGGGAGGUGAUUCUAGGAAGCAUAAGCCAAUCAAAGGUGUGGUGUUGAGCAGUUGCUGCUGUGGGCAACUGGAGCUUAAUUCUGCUGAGAAACCAUGCUUAAGAAGCAUUUCCUUAGAGAACUGAGAAACUGGGGUACUUAUCUACCCAUUCCCACACCAGACUGGUUAGGGGUUGUCCCCCAGGAUGUUAACUCCCCUACACAUCUGAGUUGAGACUACUUGAGGCCAAGCAAGCUUCUCUGGAGUUGGAGAAAGUCCUCAGGUGAAGAGGAUAACUGGACACGGUUGUUCAAGGUUCCAAAGGCCCCUAGGGAAAACUGGACUUCGGGUGCAGCCUAGCCGGGGUGAUGGAUGAACAGUGACAGCUCCUGCCGAAGAGUAAACACAGAGAAAUAUAGAUAUACCUUCUCCAACACCUGCAGCAAUUGUUUCUGCAGAAUGAGGUUGAAGAAAGCAGCAGUUGCCUCCAUCUGAGUGGAGGACCAAUCUUCACAGACAGGAAGCCAGCCGCUAUGCUGUGAUGAUGCUCAAGCACGCCUGUGGAGAGAUCCAUACAAAGAGGAACUGAGGCCUCCUGCCAGCAGUCAGCACCAGUUUGCCAGUCCUAUGGAUGAACAACCUUGAGAGCAGAUCCUCCAGUUCUCGUCAAGCUUCAGAUGACUGCAGCCCUGGCUAACAUCAACCACAUGAGAGAUCCCAAAGCAGAACCAAGUUUUUGACCCACAGGAAGAGUGAGAGAAGCUGAGAGACCCAAGUCAAGGUAAAGAGAAGAAGGAACCUCUGUGAAUGAAGCCUAAAGAACCAAUAUGGCAGCUCAAUAUGCCACAAGCUACAGGGAAAGCCUUGAGGGGAGCUGUUGUCUCAGCAUCAUGGAACAGUUGUAUCACCAGCCCCCAAGGAUAAAGUCUGACACACAGACAUCCAAGACUAUGGAAUAAAUGAGUGAAUUCUGAGGGAAGCAGACAAGUGGUUCUAUCUUCAUAGAGUUGUUACGGUUACUGGCAUUGAGUCAAGGAAAACCAGCCACAAAUGAUGAAACCAGGGAUUAGGGUCCAACUCAAAGGCUUCCAUGUGAGAGCUAGAACCUUCACAAAGGCAAUAAAGAAAUUAUAAAUGAAUUGAAUAAACCAGCUGACUCCAUGAGGAGCCAAUGCAUUUUCUAAGUGAAAACAGACACUCCAGCAGCCUGUAAGGAAACGUGUUUAUCUUGAAUGCACCUGGCAGAGACGACAUGGAUGGGGCUGAGCUGGUGGAAAGACCCCAUUUCUCAAACCCAGCUUUCUACGUGAAAUUAUUCAAAAGGAAACCUUAUCAAGCAGCCUUCCAGCCCAGUGUCAUCCAUCUUCCAGAGGAAUCUGGGCAUGGCUUCAAUGGAUCCUCUGCCUCAGAAUAUCCCACAAGACAACAAUUGAGGGAUCAGCGGGGGCUGUCAUCUCAUCUGAAGUCUCAACUAGGGAAGGAGCUGCUUCCAAGCUCAUUCAAGUGAUCGAUGGCAGAAUUUGGUUCCUCAUGGGCUGUUGGACUGAAGACUUUAGUUUAUCACAGUAUGCUGGCUGCAGUCCCCACUCAGUUCCUUGCCAUAAGGGCCUCUCCAUAGAGCAGCUUGGCAACAGAGCAGCUGGCUUCAUCAGAGUGAGUAAGCAAAAGAGAAAACCUGUGAUGGAGGCCACAGUUUUAUUAUUUAAUCUCAGAAGUAACAUCCCAUUACUUGUGCUAUGAGAAGUGAGUCAGUAAGUCCAUCCUCCUUUCCAGGGGAUGGGAUUGAUGGCAGUGGCAGCCUGUUUGGAGCAGCCACGGCUGAGACACCAGCUGCAGUGGGGGAGAUGUGGCUGGGGCUGUGUGCUUCAUGGAGCUGGCAGGAGCCAGGAACCAGCAGGAGCUCCAUCCCCUUCCGAGUUGGCAGGGUGAGAGCCCUGUGCUCCUGGACGCAGCUGCAGUCUCCCAGCCAUGGCUGCAGACCCGGGCAUCCCUGUGCUCUCUGGGACUCAGGAAGCCCCUCUGCCCCUGUAGGCUCAGAAAUGCCUGCUUCUUCUCCCUGGCCUCUCCCAGCUCCUGAUGCCCACUCUGGGGUGGAGCAAAGUAGUGGCCAAGCCUGGGUGCUGUCACAACCCAGCCAGGUGUGCACAUGCCUGGGGUGGUGCUGACACAUCAGCCCCCUGCUGCCUCAGGCCCUUCCAGACUUUGGGUGCCGAGGAGUGCAGGAGGGAGAUAGUGGGGUAGGUGGGGGGUGUUGAGGACUGCAGGCACCCCUCAGCACGGACAGCCUGGGUGCUGUGGAUAGCAAAUUGAUGGUGGCAGGAGGCAGACAGGCUCCUGGGUGGGAAGGGGCAGAUUCCUAGUGAAAGCCUCCCUUCAAGCCAGGGAUGGCCUGAAACUUGGGGGCGGGGCUGCCAGUUCCGGGUGGAGUCCACGGCCGUGAGUGAAAUCUUAUGGUGAUUCUUCUGGGUUGCCCAUGGCUGCUCAUGGAGCAAUCAACACGCACUUCCUCCCUUCUGAGCCCAUAAAACUACCCCCUCCCCCAGCCAGGUUCACACAGAUGUCGGGACUUACCAGCUGUGGGAAGGAGCUGCCCACUUUGGGUCUCCUCACUGCUGGACACUCGUCGGGGAAGACCUGCCUGCAGAAAGGAGCUACCCACUUAAAGUCUCCUGAGAGCUAUUUUGUCACUCAGUGAAGUUCCCCUCUACCUUGCUCACCAUCCAGUUGUCCUUGUACUUCAUUCUUCCUGGAUGUGGAACAAGAACUCCAGACCCACCAAAUGGUGGGAUUGAAAGAGCUGUAACACAAACAGGGCUGAAACACGCCCCCUGCUCACCCCAUUGUGGGCGGUGAGAAGGAGAGAAAAGCUGGGGCCCUUUGGGGAGCCCAGACCUAGGGGUUCCCUGAGCCAGGGCUGUGACACUCUCUUUGGGACUCUGCAGAUUCUGGCAUCUCCAAGCUUCUGGACACCACCACACCCCCCAGUGCCCACAGUGGAAGCCAUGCGUGGUAUGCCUUGUCCAGCCACAGCCUCACAGAGCUGGCACCUGUGCCAAUGCCUGGAGCUACACCAAUGCCUGGAGCUACCUGCCCUUCCACAGCUGGCAUGCCUGGGUGUACGCAGUGGCCAGACCCUGUGUUCACUCACCCCUCGCAGUUCCACAUCUGGUUCACCCUUGGCAGGCAUGGGAUCCAGGCUGGUAGUGUGAGCUGAGCUCAGCCUGCUGGGCCGAGUGGGCGGGACAAGCCCAGCAGGCCUGAGCAAAACUCGGGCAAAGAUGCCACCAGCCACAAAGGUUUUUGGCUGGAAAAGUGACACUGCAAGGAUCCUGUGACAGUAUUACCCAAUGGCAUGAAUAUCAGGGGACAUGUGUCACUGAGGACCAUCUCAGAGGAUGCCCCUCACAGGCAGAAAGAAACUAAUAAAUCCCAUAGGGCUGGAAGAACAAAGAGGAAAGAUUGUGGUUUUAGAAACUAGAUGUUCAGAGAAGGGUUCCCAUGGGGCUGAGACUGACUCUGAGGAGGUGGCCCUGGCCAGCUAAUACUGGUAAAUCUGACAGGGUACAAUGAGGUUGUUUCCGGGAGUAUAAGGAAAAAACACCUGGAAACAGGACAUGAUGGCUGUUUCUGCAGCCAUCUGGCACUGACAGGAACAGGAUGCAGACUUCUGUUUCCAUUAUGGGUUGAAUUGCAUCCCUCCAAAUUCAUAUGGUGAAGCCCUAACCCACAGUAUCCAAGAAUGAGACAUCAUUGAAAAUAGGGUCAUUGCAGAUGUAAUUAGUUAAGUAAAGUGGAUUCAGGUGGAUUCUAGUCCAAUACAACUAAUGUCCUUAUAAAAAAGUGGAGAUUGGGACACAAACACGAACACAGAGAGAAGUUAGUGGGAAUAGGAAGGCCAGAAGGUAUUUCUACAAGCCAAGGAAUACCAAAGAUUGACAGCAAACCACCAGGAGCUAGGGGAGAGGCAUGGAACAGAUUCUCUCUCACAGACCUAGGAAGGAGCCAACCCUGCUGACACCUUGAUCUUGGACUUCAAGCCUCCAGAACUCUAAGAUGGUAAAUUUCUGUUGUUUAAUCCACCCAGUUUGUGAUACUUUGUUAUGGCAGCCCUAGCAAACUAAUACAGCCUCCUCCGUCCUUGAAGUCAUCUCUGGAGCCAUUCAUCUUACAGAAUCUACCAGGGAGGCAGGCAAGGCAGGAUGUCGUUGCAGCCCAGCAUCGCCACACAGAUCAGAGGGU
rnacentral:lncRNA from 1 species